rnacentral:rRNA from 1 species
CCUACGGGAGGCUGCAGUGGGGAAUAUUGGGCAAUGGGCGCAAGCCUGACCCAGCAACGCCGCGUGAAGGAAGAAGGCUUUCGGGUUGUAAACUUCUUUCGUCAGGGAAGAGUAGAAGACGGUACCUGACGAAUAAGCCACGGCUAACGACGUUCCAGCAGCCGCGGUAAUACGUAGGGGGCAAGCGUUGUACGGAUUUACUGGGUGUAAAGGGCGUGUAGCCGGGGUGGCAAGUCAGAUGUGAAAUGCUGCGGCUUAACCGCCGAACUGCAUUUGAAACUGUUGGGCUUGAGUGCUGGAGAGGCAGGCGGAAUUCCUAGUGUAGCGGUGAAAUGCGUAGAUAUUAGGAGGAACACCAGUGGCGAAGGCGGUCUGCUGGACAGCAACUGACGGUGAGGCGCGAAAGCGUGGGGAGCAAACAGGAUUAGAUACCCGUGUAGUC